GAUGAAGAACGUAGCGAAAUGCGAUACGUAAUGUGAAUUGCAGAUUUCAGUGAAUCAUCGAAUCUUUGAACGCACAUUGCGCCCGCUGGUAUUCCGGCGGGCAUGCCUGUUCGAGCGUCAUUUCAACCCUCAAGCUCUCCGGAGUUUGGUGUUGGGGCGCCUGGGGCUUUUCGACCUCAGGGCCCUCAAGUCCAUCGGCGGGACCGCCAGGACACUGAGCGCAGUAGUAUUAUUUCGCUCGGUAGGAUCUUCCACGGCGGGUCGAUCUGGCCGCUAAACCCCCCAAUUCUCACCAAAGGUUGACCUCGGAUCAGGUAGGAAUACCCGCUGAACUUAAGCAUAUCAAUAAGCGGAGGA
rnacentral:misc_RNA from 1 species